rnacentral:rRNA from 1 species
GCAUGCUGGAGGUAUCAGAAGUGCGAAUGCUGACAUAAGUAACGAUAAAGCGGGUGAAAAGCCCGCUCGCCGGAAGACCAAGGGUUCCUGUCCAACGUUAAUCGGGGCAGGGUGAGUCGACCCCUAAGGCGAGGCCGAAAGGCGUAGUCGAUGGGAAACGGGUUAAUAUUCCCGUACUUGGUGUUACUGCGAAGGGGGGACGGAGAAGGCUAUGUUGGCCGGGCGACGGUUGUCCCGGUUUAAGCGUGUAGGUGUGUGUUCCAGGUAAAUCCGGUUCACUUUAACACUGAGGCGUGACGACGAGGCACUACGGUGCUGAAGCAACAAAUGCCCUGCUUCCAGGAAAAGCCUCUAAGCAUCAGGUAACAUCAAAUCGUACCCCAAACCGACACAGGUGGUCAGGUAGAGAAUACCAAGGCGCUUGAGAGAACUCGGGUGAAGGAACUAGGCAAAAUGGUGCCGUAACUUCGGGAGAAGGCACGCUGACACGUAGGUGAAGUGAUUUACUCAUGGAGCUGAAGUCAGUCGAAGAUACCAGCUGGCUGCAACUGUUUAUUAAAAACACAGCACUGUGCAAACACGAAAGUGGACGUAUACGGUGUGACGCCUGCCCGGUGCCGGAAGGUUAAUUGAUGGGGUCAGCGCAAGCGAAGCUCCUGAUCGAAGCCCCGGUAAACGGCGGCCGUAACUAUAACGGUCCUAAGGUAGCGAAAUUCCUUGUCGGGUAAGUUCCGACCUGCACGAAUGGCGUAAUGAUGGCCAGGCUGUCUCCACCCGAGACUCAGUGAAAUUGAACUCGCUGUGAAGAUGCAGUGUACCCGCGGCAAGACGGAAAGACCCCGUGAACCUUUACUAUAGCUUGACACUGAACAUUGAGCCUUGAUGUGUAGGAUAGGUGGGAGGCUUUGAAGUGUGGACGCCAGUCUGCAUGGAGCCGACCUUGAAAUACCACCCUUUAAUGUUUGAUGUUCUAACGUGGACCCGUUACCCGGGUUGCGGACAGUGUCUGGUGGGUAGUUUGACUGGGGCGGUCUCCUCCUAAAGAGUAACGGAGGAGCACGAAGGUUGGCUAAUCCUGGUCGGACAUCAGGAGGUUAGUGCAAUGGCAUAAGCCAGCUUGACUGCGAGCGUGACGGCGCGAGCAGGUGCGAAAGCAGGUCAUAGUGAUCCGGUGGUUCUGAAUGGAAGGGCCAUCGCUCAACGGAUAAAAGGUACUCCGGGGAUAACAGGCUGAUACCGCCCAAGAGUUCAUAUCGACGGCGGUGUUUGGCACCUCGAUGUCGGCUCAUCACAUCCUGGGGCUGAAGUAGGUCCCAAGGGUAUGGCUGUUCGCCAUUUAAAGUGGUACGCGAGCUGGGUUUAGAACGUCGUGAGACAGUUCGGUCCCUAUCUGCCGUGGGCGCUGGAGAACUGAGGGGGGCUGCUCCUAGUACGAGAGGACCGGAGUGGACGCAUCACUGGUGUUCGGGUUGUCAUGCCAAUGGCACUGCCCGGUAGCUAAAUGCGGAAGAGAUAAGUGCUGAAAGCAUCUAAGCACGAAACUUGCCCCGA